rnacentral:rRNA from 1 species
AUACGUAGGGUGCGAGCGUUGUCCGGAAUUACUGGGCGUAAAGAGCUCGUAGGUGGUUUGUCGCGUCGUCUGUGAAAUUCCGGGGCUUAACUCCGGGCGUGCAGGCGAUACGGGCAUAACUUGAGUACUGUAGGGGAGACUGGAAUUCCUGGUGUAGCGGUGAAAUGCGCAGAUAUCAGGAGGAACACCGGUGGCGAAGGCGGGUUUCUGGGCAGGAACUGACGCUGAGGAGCGAAAGCAUGGGUAGCGAACGGGAUUAGAGUCCCUGGUAGUCCAUGCCGUAAACGGUGGGCGCUAGGUGUAGGGGUCUUCCACGACUUCUGUGCCGUAGCUAACGCAUUAAGCGCCCCGCCUGGGGAGUACGGCCGCAAGGCUAAAACUCAAAGGAAUUGACGGGG